ensembl:lncRNA
CGAAAAUGUUCUCAUUAGUGGUCUACGUACUGCAUGAAAGUAUCAGCAAUGCUGAAACCUUAAGUUGUGUUCCAAAUACUGUCUCAUAUGCUAAAAAAUUAACGUUUUCUUCUGAUUUAUUUGAUUUUACUUUUGUGCACGUGGUAGACAAGUUUCAUGGUUUGUUUUGUGACUAGAGUUCAUUGCAUGACUCACAUCAUCAUUAUUAUGAGGCAGAAGAUGUUCACUCCCAUAAGAGGCUUGUACGACAAGUUACUGAGGAGCGGAACAUACAAUUCCACCCUACUGCAAAGACAAAAAAGCAUAUGGACUUAUGUGGACACCCUAUAGUAUUCACAACCCAAUGCAAUUAAAGCUAUUAAUUGUGUUACACCCGUAGCUAAUAAUGCACAGAACAAUUCGUUUAUCCUAUUUGAUACGAAAUGUACUGUUCUGUCAUUUACAGUAUAAUCUCUGUUAGCAGACUAUAUAUAAAUGUGUUUAGUUUGGGAAAAAUCUGAGCAUGAAGUUAUUAUAAAUGUCUAUACAAAUACCCUAAUGAAAUAUAUUUUGGGCCCAAAUAUACAAGGCAUAUUAAACCCCUGCAUAUGAAUAUGAUUGGCAUCCUAUACAGCAAAAAUAGUACCUUUCUUUAAAUGACUUCAUUUUGACUGAAACAUAUAUGCAACUUUUGGCACAAAUAACAUACAUGACAAUCAUUUCUUAGCAUUUGGGAGUCUUUUAUGAAUGCUUACAGACCCUCUUUGUGCAGCUCUUUAAGUAUUUACCUUACUUACAUUAUCCUUAAAAGUAACUGAUGGAUGAAAAUAUAUAUGCCAUAAGAUGAAUAUAUAUGCCAUUUCCUCAUUUUCUCCUCUUUUCUCUUACAAAUUGCCCACAGCUAACUUUGCAACAUCAACAAUUUAAUAUAUAAUGAUGUUCUUCCUCUUCUUCAAACCGGUGUCCAGUGUUAGGAGUUAGGGUUGUCCUUAACUUUUCUCUCCACUUGCUUAACAUGUUGUUCCAGUCUAUACCUGUCCAGCAACUCCAGGGUGUGCCUACGUCAUAAAUUCAGACAGAGCAGAGAGUUUCUUCAGAAGUGGACUUAUCAAAGCAACAGUGCUGUUAAUCUGAAGAACAAUGGCAGAUACAAACCCAGAUAAAACCCCUCAGUGCGAUAAGAGCAAACAAUGCCAGGGUGAAGGCAAGGGUGAAGGCAAGGGUGAAGGCAAAGGUGAAGGCAAGGGAAAAGGACCAGGACAAGGGCAAGGCAAGGGUCAUGGUCACGGACAUGGUCAUGGUCAUGGUCACGGUCACGGACCUGGAAAGGAUGGAAAGGAUUGCAAAGGCAACCCAUAAUGACAAGGAGCUGAAUGAAGAGACCUCUGAAGUCUGUCUGAUACUGUUUUUUCUUGCACCAUGACUAAUAAAAUAAAACAUGUAUAAGUGUACCACAUAUGUUUGUUUUUAUUAAAUGAUAAUAAAGGUGAAGGCAAGGGAAAAGGACCAGGACAAGGGCAAGGUCAAGGCAAGGGUCAGGGUCAUGGUCACGGACACGGUCACGGACCUGGAAAGGAUGGAAAGGAUGGCAAAGGCAAACCAUAAUGACAAGGAGCUGAAUGAAGAGACGUCUGAAGUCUGUCUGAUGCUGUUUUUUUCUUGCACCAUGACUAUAAACUAAAACAUGUAUAAUUAUACCACAUAUGUUUGUUUUUAAUUAAAUGAUCAUCAAUAAAGUGUUUGGUAUCAAAGAAUGGCUUUUAGAAUCGUUGACUCCUUAAGCUUUGAAAUUCCAAAUAUAAAACGAAAUGAAGUAGCUGUGGCAAGGUGUGCAAGUUUACACAGCAAGAAGGUGUAUAUGCUGAAACAAUGUUAAAUCAGGAAAUAAGACCUACUUGGUUUAUGAAUGUUAUCUUUUGUAAAGAAUACUGGUUAAGCAAUACAUGCAAGGUGUAGAUUCAACCAUUAAACACACAUAACUAAAACAUUUUUAUAUGUUUAAGGAGCAAGAAUGGCUCAGAGAAAUUUACAUGUCCACAAUAAAACUCAC